ACUCCCAAUUUCACUCAGACUUAAACGCCUCAUCUCUCAUUCUCUCUCAGACGACGGACGCAGAGACGCUCCUUCGUCCUCGUGAAUAGCGGUUCUUCAAUUCUCAGAAGGUGGACCGUCGGCGACUUUCUCCUGUUUGACUCUCCAGCGAAAAGUAUGGAGUCUCAAAAUGAAGAGAAUCCGGUUGGUUCAUCUUCUAGUACUUUUCCUAUAGAGAGUGACAGUCAAUUGCCUAUGCAAGUCGAUGAAGUUGUUGAUGAAACUGGGAAAAGAAAACUUAUUUCUGACGCAUGGAAUCAUUUUACACCUGUGAUGAUUAAUGGUGUUCGUUUUGGUGUUU